rnacentral:rRNA from 1 species
GACGAACGCUGGCGGCGUGCCUAACACAUGCAAGUCGAACGAAGUGGCGAACGGGUGAGUAACGAGUAAUCAACCUGCCCUUCAGAGGGGGACAACAGUUGGAAACGACUGCUAAUACCGCAUACUGAAGGGGGGGAUUGCGUCUGAUUAGGUAGUUGGAGGGGUAACGGCCCACCAAGGCGAUGGUCAGUAGGCUGGCUGAUGAGGUGAACGGCCACAUUGGGAAUGGGACACGGCCCCGACUCCGACGGGAGGCAACAGUGGGGAAUCUUCCGCAAUGGGGGAAAGUCUUACGGAAGAAAGCCGCGGGAGAGGUGAUGGCCUUCGGGUUGUAAAGGUCUGUUAAUCGGGGCGCGUUACCGGAAUAGAAAGCCACGGCUAACUACGUGCCAGCCGCCGCGGUAAUUC